AAGACUAUACUUUCAGGGAUCAUUUCUAUAGUUUUUAACUAGGAAAUGUACUAAGAAAGUGAUGGGUCUCCUAAACCACGAUGAAGAGUUUUGAUACUCUUUCCUGAGCGUGAAUCGGGUGUAGAGUAAUGAUUUGAUUCAUAUGCUCUGCAUCAUUGAAGAACGUUCCUGCUUCUUUACGAAGUAUGGAGGGAGAGAGUAUGAACGGAGUGGU